CGGCGGACGGGUGAGUAAUGUCUGGGAAACUGCCUGAUGGAGGGGGAUAACUACUGGAAACGGUAGCUAAUACCGCAUAACGUCGCAAGACCAAAGUGGGGGACCUUCGGGCCUCAUGCCAUCAGAUGUGCCCAGAUGGGAUUAGCUUGUAGGUGAGGUAACGGCUCACCUAGGCGACGAUCCCUAGCUGGUCUGAGAGGAUGACCAGCCACACUGGAACUGAGACACGGUCCAGACUCCUACGGGAGGCAGCAGUGGGGAAUAUUGCACAAUGGGCGCAAGCCUGAUGCAGCCAUGCCGCGUGUAUGAAGAAGGCCUUCGGGUUGUAAAGUACUUUCAGCGAGGAGGAAGGCGAUAAGGUUAAUAACCUUGUCGAUUGACGUUACUCGCAGAAGAAGCACCGGCUAACUCCGUGCCAGCAGCCGCGGUAAUACGGAGGGUGCAAGCGUUAAUCGGAAUUACUGGGCGUAAAGCGCACGCAGGCGGUCUGUCAAGUCGGAUGUGAAAUCCCCGGGCUCAACCUGGGAACUGC
rnacentral:rRNA from 1 species